rnacentral:miRNA from 1 species
UGUGGAGGUGGGAUGAGGUUCC